rnacentral:rRNA from 1 species
UACGUAGGUGGCAAGCGUUGUCCGGAUUUACUGGGCGUAAAGAGCGCGCAGGCGGUCGAUUAAGUCGAAUGUGAAAGCCCCCGGCUCAACUGGGGAGGGUCAUUCGAUACUGAUCGACUUGAAGGCAGGAGAGAGAAGUGGAAUUCCCGGUGUAGUGGUGAAAUGCGUAGAUAUCGGGAGGAACACCAGUGGCGAAGGCGACUACCUGGCCUGUUCUUGACGCUGAGGCGCGAAAGCUAGGGGAGCAAACGGG